UCUGGGAGGUUGUAGCAGUGGA
rnacentral:miRNA from 1 species